rnacentral:lncRNA from 1 species
CAAAAUUUAGAACUUCAUGAACAUGUACAGGAAGCUGAAUUAUUGCACAUCUAUGUACUACUUAAAAUUGUACUUCGGUCUGUUGCGUCCUUAAAAUGUUCUGACCGUCCUAUGAUUUAAUGUACGGAAAUGUUUCGGUAAAUUAAAUUCAAAUCCGAAUUGAAGGUUUAUGACACACAAAAAGAGAAACCAGAAUCUCUUGAUGACCAAACGUAUGUACACGUUGGGGCGAUUUAGAGCUUUUCAGAAAGAGUGAGAUUCCACCCUUGUUGAAAGCCUUGUGGAGACCUCUAGAUUUUUAAAUUCCCUCCGUUUUUCUCAUGAAUGGAGUGUGGUCUCUCUGUAAAUUACCCCAUUUUUUUUUCAUUUUCCUAUUUACCGAAGGUCCCAUGUGAAAAUUUCCAUUGGAUCAUAUCUGUUAAACUAAAUGUACAAAACAGGCUCAAGAAAAGGCGAAAUUUCUUUUUCAAACCCGAACUAGAAAUACAUUUUUUUCUAAUAGAACACCUUACAUUAUCGUCUAUGAGUUCAGGCAUGUGAAAAAUUAUAUAAUCAUACACAAGAAAGAAAC